rnacentral:tRNA from 2 species
AGGAGAGAUGGCUGAGAGGUUUAAAGCAAUAGUUUCGAAAACUAUAAUACGAAGAUUUCGUAUCGAGGGUUCGAAUCCCUCUCUCUCCUA